UGAUAAAUUAAAAUAAUCUUUACCAUUCAGUGAUAACAAGCAGUUUUUUUUACAUCUUAAUAUUUUAUGAUGUAUUUAAAUGAGUAGUUAUUGUUGCAAACUCCAUUAGAAAUUUUAAUUGAGAUUAGUUUUGGAAUAAGGGAAAGGGGGAUGUGAUUAAAAAAAUUGGGUCCAAUUUUUCUCAUUUGAAAUUUCAUAAAUAAAAAAGAAAAUUUCUUCAAACAUUUUUUUGAGAGGAUUAAUAUUCAACAGCAUAGUGAAUUGCUCUAAGAGAAAACAAAAAUUUUAAGUUCAUUAGAACGCAUUCAUUCUGUGUCAGAAACCUAUGCCAUGUAUGCUGUGUCAACUAUUUAAUCACAAUCCAAAUUUAGAGCUGAAUCCAGCUUGAAUGUUGUGUCCAUACUUGCCCC
rnacentral:lncRNA from 1 species